rnacentral:rRNA from 1 species
AAAUUGAAGAGUUUGAUCAUGGCUCAGAUUGAACGCUGGCGGCAGGCCUAACACAUGCAAGUCGAACGGUAACAGGAAACAGCUUGCUGUUUCGCUGACGAGUGGCGGACGGGUGAGUAAUGUCUGGGAAACUGCCUGAUGGAGGGGGAUAACUACUGGAAACGGUAGCUAAUACCGCAUAAUGUCGCAAGACUAAAGAGGGGGACCUUCGGGCCUCUUGCCAUCGGAUGUGCCCAGAUGGGAUUAGCUAGUAGGUGGGGUAACGGCUCACCUAGGCGACGAUCCCUAGCUGGUCUGAGAGGAUGACCAGCCACACUGGAACUGAGACACGGUCCAGACUCCUACGGGAGGCAGCAGUGGGGAAUAUUGCACAAUGGGCGCAAGCCUGAUGCAGCCAUGCCGCGUGUAUGAAGAAGGCCUUCGGGUUGUAAAGUACUUUCAGCGGGGAGGAAGGGAGUAAAGUUAAUACCUUUACUCAUUGACGUUACCCGCAGAAGAAGCACCGGCUAACUCCGUGCCAGCAGCCGCGGUAAUACGGAGGGUGCAAGCGU